AUGGCAUUCCAUAUCAAAUAUCAAUCUACUUACGAACAAUUUUCAAUUGUUACAAUACUUAAUGGGGGCAAUGUUUACAAUAGAUUGAAGAGUUAUCUAACUCCUCAUGAGAUACCACUUACUGGUGACCAAUGCUUGUCUGCUCAACCAUCCUCAACAGUUAACCAAACCGGUAGUCCUUCUGCAAGUUCAAGUAGCACACCUCCAAAAAGGGUUGUUGCCACAACAUCCGUUAAUGAUGCAUUUGACGAUCCAGACAUAACUCCUAAACAAUCAACCACUAAAGCCAAGCCAGGAAAGAAAGUCAAGCAUUUAAAGAAGGAGUGA